AACGAACGCUGGCGGCAUGCCUAACACAUGCAAGUCGAACGCCAGUAGCAAUACAGGAGUGGCAGACGGGUGCAUAACACGUGGGAACCUACCCUUGGGUUCGGAAUAACCGCGGGAAACUGCGGCUAAUACCGGAUACGUCCUCUGGGAGAAAGAUUCAUCGCCCUUGGAGGGGCCCGCGUCGGAUUAGCUAGUUGGUGAGGUAACGGCUCACCAAGGCGACGAUCCGUAGCUGAUCUGAGAGGAUGAUCAGCCACACUGGAACUGAGACACGGUCCAGACUCCUACGGGAGGCAGCAGUGGGGAAUAUUGGACAAUGGGGGCAACCUUGAUCCAGCAAUGCCGCGUGGGUGAUGAAGGCCUUCGGGUUGUAAAGCCCUUUUGGCAGGGACGAUGAUGACGGUACCUGCAGAAUAAGCCCCGGCUAACUUCGUGCCAGCCGCCGCCGUAA
rnacentral:rRNA from 1 species